AAGUGGGUCACCUUCCGGAUCAAUCCUGACCCUGCUGCCGCCGUUUCUCCUGAGAGAUCUCCAUUAUCUGCACACACACAGAAGUCAAUUGUUAGAGAGCAUCAGUCAGCAGGACCCCUGACCUUUAACCUGACACCUCAUCAUCUGCGCUGUCAUGUGUGCAAACAUCUGAUCCCAGAACAGCCUGAGAAAGAGAGAGAGAGCUGAGAACACAAACGUAAAAGGAAUAAGGCGCUGAAGAGUCUUUUUCUAUCUUUCUACUCACUUUCGUCUCUCAGAAGAGGAGACACUGAACGAGAAACUGAGAGCUGAAACAUGACAGAACGACACGGGAGAAACAACCGGCUUUGACAAAGAUCACAGCUGUACAGAGGUACAGGACACACACACACACACACUUCUGGAUAUUUAAUGCCAAAUUUACACAGAAAUUCUGUAUGUAACGCUCAGAAUACAUUAGAAUAACUGCAGUAAUAUCUCCAGAUGAACUCUUACUGGACUGAAGCAGCUCAGCUUUACUUGAUUCUCCAUCAAUCAUGUUUUAGAGUCUCAAAUCUGAUCAUCAGGAUCUUUUGAGGAGCGUUUAUUUGUUCAUCUCUCAAUCAUCAUUGGAUUGCAUUGCACUGUAUGUUUAGAUCAUUUAAAUCUCAUCUUACUAAGACAUAUUACUGGGAAGUUAAACUGCAAAAAUGACUCAUUCGGGAAUCUU
ensembl:lncRNA